CAGUAGCCGCGGGAAUACGUAGGGUGCGAGCGUUGUCCGGAUUUAUUGGGCGUAAAGCGAGCGCAGGCGGUUAGAUAAGUCUGAAGUUAAAGGCUGUGGCUUAACCAUAGUACGCUUUGGAAACUGUUUAACUUGAGUGCAAGAGGGGAGAGUGGAAUUCCAUGUGUAGCGGUGAAAUGCGUAGAUAUAUGGAGGAACACCGGUGGCGAAAGCGGCUCUCUGGCUUGUAACUGACGCUGAGGCUCGAAAGCGUGGGGAGCAAACAGGAUUAGAUACCCCGGUAGUCCCUGUCUCUUAUACA
rnacentral:rRNA from 1 species